rnacentral:rRNA from 1 species
CCUAACACAUGCAAGUCGAACGGUAACAGGAAACAGCUUAGCUGUUUCGCUGACGAGUGGCGGACGGGUGAGUAAUAGUCUGGGAAACUAGCCUGAUGGAGGGGGAUAACUACUAGGAAACGGUAGCUAAUACCGCAUAACGUCGCAAGACCAAAGAGGGGGACCUUCGGGCCUCUUGCCAUCAGAUGUGCCCAGAUGGGAUUAGCUAGUAGGUGGGGUAACGGCUCACCUAGGCGACGAUCCCUAGCUGGUCUGAGAGGAUGACCAGCCACACUGGAACUGAGACACGGUCCAGACUCCUACGGGAGGCAGCAGUAGGGAAUAUUGCACAAUGGGCGCAAGCCUGAUGCAGCCAUGCCGCGUGUAUGAAGAAGGCCUUCGGGUUGUAAUAA